UCUAUUAUGAUAACACCCUUAAGAGUCUUAUUCUGAUAACAACAGGCUUAUUCUGCUAACACCAAACAAACUGCGGCGCGGAUAAAGUGAACCACAGACAGAACCUGGAGCAACCCACCCCACCUUCUUCGUCGCACCCCUACCCGCCGACGCAUCCCACGGCAUGACCUCCCUCCUCCCACCUUCUUCCCCGCACGCGAACAUGCCCCACCACCCACGCCGCGCGCCCAUUCCCCUCCUUCCCCAUGGCGCCCUGUAUCCACCCGCACGACGAGAUCCGUGCGCGGGCCUCCUGGCACCGCCACCCACCCACAUCGUCGCGCCGGCCUUGAGAACUUCCCUGGCUCCUUUCCUCCCCGGUCGGUCGAGCACCACCGAUUUCGCCAACCGGAUCCGGCGGAAUCCUUCUUCACCUCCCUCCUCCCGCACCUGCCCCGGCCUUCCAUCGCCGUGCCGCGCCGCUGCCUAGCUUUCUUCUCCGCGCCAGAGUGCCCCCGGGGCUCCUUCCUCCCACCGCCGCAGGGCCGCUCGCUCCUUUCUUCCCCGCACAGCACUUCCUCCCAGCGUCGGAGCUCCUCCCAGCCGCAACACGACCCCGCACGCCUCCGCGCCGCCCAGACGACGGAUCCAGCCCCACCGCGCCGCCCAGCCGACGGAUCCGGCAGCCGCCGGUCCACAGCGCCAUCCCGGCGACUGCCUUGACCACUCUGCCCCUGAUCUUGCUUGCUCCCCUCGGCGGUCAUCUUCCUCGUCACCGCCGCCGCACUCUGUACCUCGGCCUUGGAUCCGAUGCUGAUGGUGUCCCCGGGGAAUUAGCCUCCAACAAAAAGCACCAACUUCCCCGACGAACAGAGGCGUGUGGCUCCCGUUCGACAGCGACCUCCCCGGCGACCAAGUGCUGCAGCCCACUUUUUUAUUUUUGCAAUUCGCAUGUUAAAGUUUCUUUUUGCAGUGCGUGUGUGUUGUUCGGUGUGAGCUCGAACGAAGGCACAGAUCAGUCCACUCUGUUCUCUAAUGCAGAAAAAAGGAGGAACAACCAAUUAUAAAAAAUCGUAAGACUCGCUCUCCUGCAUGUAGUUUGUUUAGAGUUUGAUUGAUGUCCUGUAUUGCGGGUCAUGGAGUUCGAUUGGGGCUCCCAUGGUAAAGUUCAAAUAAAAUUAACCA